GUCCCUGUAACGCAAUGGAUAGCGAGUUGGAAUUCUAAUCCGAAGGUCAUGGGUUCGAAUUCCACCUGGGAUG
rnacentral:tRNA from 1 species